rnacentral:rRNA from 1 species
GUGGGGAAUUUUGGACAAUGGGCGCAAGCCUGAUCCAGCCAUGCCGCGUGCAGGAUGAAGGCCUUCGGGUUGUAAACUGCUUUUGUACGGAACGAAAAGACUCUGGUUAAUACCUGGGGUCCAUGACGGUACCGUAAGAAUAAGCACCGGCUAACUACGUGCCAGCAGCCGCGGUAAUACGUAGGGUGCAAGCGUUAAUCGGAAUUACUGGGCGUAAAGCGUGCGCAGGCGGUGAUGUAAGACAGAUGUGAAAUCCCCGGGCUCAACCUGGGAACUGCAUUUGUGACUGCAUCGCUGGAGUACGGCAGAGGGGGAUGGAAUUCCGCGUGUAGCAGUGAAAUGCGUAGAUAUGCGGAGGAACACCGAUGGCGAAGGCAAUCCCCUGGGCCUGUACUGACGCUCAUGCACGAAAGCGUGGGGAGCAAACAGGAUUAGAUACCCUAGUAGUCC